CCUACGGGAGACAGCAGUGGGGAAUAUUGGGCAAUGGGCGCAAGCCUGACCCAGCAACGCCGCGUGAAGGAAGAAGGCUUUCGGGUUGUAAACUUCUUUUAAGGGGGAAGAGCAGAAGACGGUACCCCUUGAAUAAGCCACGGCUAACUACGUGCCAGCAGCCGCGGUAAUACGUAGGUGGCAAGCGUUGUCCGGAUUUACUGGGUGUAAAGGGCGUGCAGCCGGAGAGACAAGUCAGAUGUGAAAUCCACGGGCUCAACCCGUGAACUGCAUUUGAAACUGUUUCCCUUGAGUGUCGGAGAGGUAAUCGGAAUUCCUUGUGUAGCGGUGAAAUGCGUAGAUAUAAGGAAGAACACCAGUGGCGAAGGCGGAUUACUGGACUGUAACUGACGUUGAGGCUCGAAAGCGUGGGGAGCAAACAGGAUUAGAUACCCGGGUAGUC
rnacentral:rRNA from 1 species